CCUACGGGUGGCAGCAGUCGAGAAUCAUUCACAAUGGGGGAAACCCUGAUGGUGCGACGCCGCGUGGGGGAAUGAAGGUCUUCGGAUUGUAAACCCCUGUCAUGUGGGGGCAAAUUAAAAAGAUAGUACCACAAGAGGAAGAGACGGCUAACUCUGUGCCAGCAGCCGCGGUAAUACAGAGGUCUCAAGCGUUGUUCGGAAUCACUGGGCGUAAGGCGUGCGUAGGCUGUUUCGUAAGUCGUGUGUGAAAGGCGCGGGCUCAACCCACGGACGGCACAUGAUACUGCGAGACUAGAGUAAUGGAGGGGGAACCGGAAUUCUCGGUGUAGCAGUGAAAUGCGUAGAUAUCGAGAGGAACACUCGUGGCGAAGGCGGGUUCCUGGACAUUAACUGACGCUGAGGCACGAAGGCCAGGGGAGCGAAAGGGAUUAGAUACCCUUGUAGUC
rnacentral:rRNA from 1 species